AUCCGGGUUAAUACCCCAUAACACAUGAAGCGGCAUCGCUUUAUGUUGAAAGCUCCGGCGGUUAAAGAUGAGUAUGCGUCUGAUUAGCUAGUUGGUGAGGUAACGGCUCACCAAGGCGACGAUCAGUAGGAGAUCUGAGAGGAUUAACCCCCACACGGAUACUGAGACACGGAUCCGACUCCUACGGGAGGCAGCAGUAAGGAAUAUUGGACAAUGCCCGCAAGGGUGAUCCAGCCAUGCCGCGUGCAGGAAGACGGCCCUAUGGGUUGUAAACUGCUUUUACACCGGAGAAAACCUCCCCUCGUGAGGGGAGCUGAUAGUAUGGUGAGAAUAAGCAUCGGCUAACUUCGUGCCAGCAGCCCGCGGUAAGACGAAGGAUGCAAGCGUUAUCCGGAUUCAUUGGGUUUAAAGGGAGCGUAGGUGGACUGAUAAGUCAGUGGUGAAAUCUUCGAGCUUAACUCGGAAAUUGCCAUUGAUACUGU
rnacentral:rRNA from 1 species